rnacentral:rRNA from 1 species
UGGUGGAGUGAUUUGUCUGGUUAAUUCCGAUAACGAGCGAGACCUCAGCGUACUAAUUAGUUGCAGGAAUUUUUAAUUCUCAAGUGCGACUUCUUAGAGGGACUAUCGGUGCGUAGCCGAAGGAAGUUUGAGGCAAUAACA